UACGUAGGGUGCAAGCGUUGUCCGGAAUCAUUGGGCGUAAAGAGCGUGUAGGCGGCCAGAAAAGUCCGCUGUGAAAACUCGAGGCUCAACUUCGAGCUGUCGGUGGAAACUUUCUGGCUAGAGUCCGGAAGAGGAGAAUGGAAUCCUGGUGUAGCGGUGAAAUGCGCAGAUAUCGGAGGAACGAACCUCAUGCGAAGGCAGCUCGCUGGGACGUUACUGACGCUGAGACGCGAAAGCGUGGGGAGCAAACAGG
rnacentral:rRNA from 1 species